GCGGGCGUAACUCAGCGGUAGAGUGUUAGCUUCCCAAGCUGAAAGUCGCGGGUUCAAAUCCCGUCGCCCGCUCCA
rnacentral:tRNA from 1 species